GGAUUCUGAUAUGCCUUACUGUCUGAGUUACGUACGGUGUACGCGGUUACACACACACACGCUAAUGCUCGGUGGAAAGUCUCCGGAUCUUAUGCAGAGAGUGCAGCAGUGUCAAGCUGUCAGCCUCCAGAAUGCGAAACCAUUGACGGGACUGCUUCGGCAGGAUCUGGUUAUCGUACUGGAGGUGCUGAUCAUUCUCACAUUAAGGGAUGUUAAGGGCGCCACAUAUAAGGCGUAACAUAACGGGGCUUAUUGUAUCGGAAUU
rnacentral:RNase_MRP_RNA from 3 species